UACGUAUGGUGCAAGCGUUAUCCGGAUUUACUGGGUGUAAAGGGAGCGCAGGCGGUGCGACAAGUCUGAUGUGAAAGCCCGGGGCUCAACCCCGGUACUGCAUUGGAAACUGUCGUACUAGAGUGUCGGAGGGGUAAGCGGAAUUCCUAGUGUAGCGGUGAAAUGCGUAGAUAUUAGGAGGAACACCAGUGGCGAAGGCGGCUUACUGGACGAUAACUGACGCUGAGGCUCGAAAGCGUGGGGAGCAAACAGG
rnacentral:rRNA from 1 species